CUUUUCUUCUUCAGUUUUUUUUUUAACCCAUUGCUCUUCAUUUAUUCGAAAAAUAAUUACUGAUCACAAAUUUUUCGGAUGCUUUUUAUCCUAUUUUCGUAUCGAACUUACAUGUUAGCAGUUGAACGGAAUUAAGUACAUUUUUCAGGAAUUUACAACUUAAAUUUUCAACAACAAAAUUCCACACUUUUUUACUUGGAUUUUUUUUUUCUGUUUUGAAGGCGCCACCAGUGACCCCGUAGCACACAUAACCAACACCUCACAUGGCGUAUUCACGAUGUUGAGGUAUUGACAUACAAUCACAUUUAUCAAUAUACAGCAAGUAGGUAAUUUGGUGUUGAAUGCCAGUAGGUCAGAAUUUGUUAAUUGAAUUUUACCUGUAAAAGGGUCACUAGCUGUCAAAUUCAUGUUCAUCGAUUUUAAUCAAAUUCACAUAACGUGUGGUGUUGAAUUGUUUAUUAAAAUUCCACGCACAAUCUUGGCUGAUAUGCAUAAAACCAUUAUUUCAUGAACCUGCAUGAAAUAUUGACUUAUCACAGAACUAAAAAAAUAAACCACCGAAAGUCCACAUAAGAGGUUAUUUAACAGAAUAGAGAAUAACGGGCAAAGAAAAAAAGGAAUAAAGAAUAGUGAAAGAAAGAGAAUAAUGGUAAAAAGUGUAAGUCAUUAAAAAUAUAGCUUAAAAAAAAGAAGCCUCUUGCAUCAAUUUGAGGAAUUUACCCAAGGUUAAUUUUACGGCGGCUUAUUUUAUUUUGGAUUAAAAAUAAACACAAUUGACAAGUUUCCUUCCCCUGCAUUUUCGAUCGCACAUGUAAAUAGCACGUUGGUCUCAAAUAAGACACUGAUACAUUACAACACUUGCCGUCAGUAUUUGAAAAUAUUAAUUAAGAAGGUAUAGAAAAUUAAUGCACGCACACUAUUAUCCAC
rnacentral:lncRNA from 1 species